AGUAGCAAAGGCUGGGCAGCUGGCCUGCAAGGCUGCAUGAAACAUGAAGGCAACAGACCCCCUUUUAAUGCAGGAAAGGAUCAGAACUUCAAUCCUUGCUUGGAUCACAGUUGUAGGGCUUCAGUUGAAGGAAGCAAGGUAAGAAGAAAGGGUUGUGGACAUUCUCCCUCCUGGCUAUGACAUCUGCAGACAUGGCAGUAGCUCCAUUCUCCCAGAUGUUCUUCUAGCAUUUGGAACUCAGUUAUUUUCUGCAUUUUAUAUUUGUGACUUGAACAAUGAAUAUGUACCAAAACUUGAAGAAGAAAUGAUUAGACAGAAAGGACUGGACAUUACUGUGUGUUACGCCACGUUAUCAUAGGAGACUACAACCCAAUUCCCUUUCAGCAAAGCUCUGCCUUGAAAAUGUUGAGCAGUGUUGCUCACUGCUGCUAUGGGCACUGAAUUCCCAGUCUCUCUUCUGAUGCUUUGAACCUUCCAAUGUCUAACCUUUGUGGAGAGUCUAAAUCUACUAAUUCUCUGCCCAAAAUGAUUUUUGGUUAAACAGCAUUUCUCCUUGCAACUAUUCACUUUCCUGAUGUUGUUAUGAAGAGACUUCCAACCCUCCUUCUGGUUUUGUAGAAAUAACAUACCAAGCCUACUUGGUGGAUGAAAAGCUGGAUAUAAACUGGCAAUGUGUUCUGACAGCCUUGAGAGUCAAUUGUGUCCUGGGCUGCAUCACCAGCAGGUGACCAGGGAUUCUACCCCUCUCCUCCACUCUCAUGACACUCCCCCCUGCAGUGCUGGGCCCAGUUCUGGGGCACCCAUCACAAGAAGGAUGUGGAACUGUUGGAGUGAAUCCAGAGUAAGACACAAAGAUGCUCAGAGGACUGGAGCAGCUCUGCUCUGGAGAGAGGCUGGGAGAGCUGGGGUUGUUCAGCCUGGACAAGAAAUGAUUCAGGGGAGACCUUAUUGUGGCCUUUCAAUACUUAAAAGGUUGGGCACUAUGCAAAGCUGACAAGACGGGUGGGACUGGCAGCAUUGGCAUGGCCCCUCGAGGUCCAAUGGAAGGAGGGCAACCCUCAUUUCUGUCUGUCUCAUGUGAUGGACAAAACAUCUAGAAGAUAAUUGGGGGUAUCAGGCCCACAUCUCCCUCUCUGCACCUCCCAGACUGCAAGUGGUGGAUUGCUGUGAUGAACCCUGUGGAAGACCUGACGAGAAAAUGGAGCUUCUGACCUCUGCCAGGCAGCUGUGAGAACCACAGUGGGCAGUGGUGGUCUAGGGAAAGGCCAUGUAGGUGUAGUUAUGUACAUAUUGUUGAGGCAGAGGCACGGGUUCUUAAACAGGCUGUUGCCUUUACAGUUGGUGUCUUCACCAUCCCCUUCCAUGGAGAAGAGGGGUACAGGAUGUGAAAUCAUUUGUACCUUCUUAUGUUCUGUACUGUGUUGUCUCCUUUUGCUUCAGGCAGGGGAUGAAGAAGGAAUCUGCUGUCAUCUAUGGUUUAGGGGUGAACGUGGUAGAGUAGCCUUAAAGGUUGGACUUGAUGAUCUUAAAGGUCUUUUUCAACCUAAAUUAUUCUAUGAUUCUAUGAUCUCUCCUCUGUUUUCCUUCUCAACAUGGGAAUAUAAGUUGUGAGGAGUCAAUCUCUCCUAUUAAAACACUCUGUGUCUGUG